CAGAGGUAGCAAGCGUUGUUCGGAAUUACUGGGCGUAAAGGGCGCGUAGGCGGCCAUCUAAGUCAGACGUGAAAUCCCCCGGCUUAACCUGGGAACUGCGUCUGAUACUGGACGGCUAGAGUAUGGGAGAGGGAUGUAGAAUUCCAGGUGUAGCGGUGAAAUGCGUAGAUAUCUGGAGGAAUACCGGUGGCGAAGGCGGCAUCCUGGACCAUUUACUGACGCUGAGGCGCGAAAGCUAGGGGAGCAAACGGGAUUAGAUACCCCGGUAGUCCUAGCCCUAAACGAUGAAUGCUUGGUGUGGCGGGUAUCGAUCCCUGCCGUGCCGAAGCUAACGCAUUAAGCAUUCCGCCUGGGGAGUACGGUCGCAAGGCUG
rnacentral:rRNA from 1 species